rnacentral:lncRNA from 1 species
CAAAAGAAUCAUAUAUUUAAGGACGAAUCAGAUCAACUAUAUUGAUUAUUUUUUUUAGUUGACAAUUUUUUUUUUCACCACCAGUUUAAUUUGGUUCGGGGUCAGUUCUGACAUCAAGUGAUUCCAGCUCCCUCCAGAUCGCAAUUGCGGGGAUCGAACCACAGUCGUCCCUACCAAAUUCAGUGCCAAUCAUCACUGAACCAACUGACAAUUGGUAAAACUUGUGUUUUAAAAUCAAAUCAAUAAAUUUGUUAAAAAAAAUAAUAAUCAAAUCAAUACAUUUACGAUUAAGUCACCAAGUAGAAGUUAAAAGUUUCUAAAUAAAUUGCGUUGAAAACUAAAAAUCAUUAUAUUAGUUACAGUAAUAUAUAUAUAUAUCUCCAAUAGAUCAUUAUUAAAGGGAAAAUUCAUAAAUUGUCCAAAUAAACUACUAAAAUAAAACCGUUAAUUUUAUUAAAAAAAAAUAGAUAAAGAAGAUAAAAACACAUGGUUAUGAGUUCAUAUUUCAUUUGGGUGCAGAAUAGUAAUAAAAAAAAGGACAAAACUUAGAUGCAAUUCCAUAGGUCCGGUUCUUACUGUUUUCCAAUAGAAUUUUAACACCUGGAUUAUUUCUUUUCACUGAUAAACGCCGUUAGAAAACAAAACAUUUUUCCU